GAGUUUGAUCGUGGCUCAGGAUGAACGCUGGCGGCGUGCCUAAUACAUGCAAGUCGAGCGCCUGCACAAUACACUUCUUACCAACAUACGUUGGAUACUAAGGAGCGUACUGUGCAGGAGCGGCGGACGGGUGAGUAACACGUGGGAACCUACCCCAGAGUGAGGGAUAAGCUCAAGAAAUUGAGUCUAAUACCGCAUAACCUCUACGGAGAAAAGCUUUAUGCGCUUUGGGAAGGGCCCGCGCCCGAUUAGCUAGUUGGUAAGGUAAUGGCUUACCAAGGCGAUGAUCGGUAGCUGGUUUGAGAGGAUGAUCAGCCACACUGGAACUGAGACACGGUCCAGACUCCUACGGGAGGCAGCAGUAGGGAAUCUUCCACAAUGGGCGAAAGCCUGAUGGAGCAACGCCGCGUGCAGGAUGAAGGCCUUCGG
rnacentral:rRNA from 1 species